UACGAGGGGUGCAAGCGUUGCUCGGAAUUAUUGGGCGUAAAGGGUAGGUAGGUGGUCUCAUUUGUCUGGGGUGAAAGCCUCGAGCUUAACUCGUGAAGUGCCCCAGAAACGGUGAGACUUGAGUCUUGGAGAGGCUAGCGGAAUUCCCGGUGUAGCGGUGAAAUGCGUAGAGAUCGGGAGGAACACCAGAGGCGAAGGCGGCUAGCUGGACAAGCACUGACACUCAACUACGAAAGCGUGGGGAGCAAACAGG
rnacentral:rRNA from 1 species